GGGGAGGCGGGGCAGGAGGCGGCGCGGCUCUGCCCUGCCUCCCUGCUCGUCGCCGCUCGCUCCCCGGCCGGCGCUGUGUCUUCUGCGCCUCCAAGAUGAGCGGGCAGCGGCGAGGCGGCUGCCGGAACCCGCUGGUAUCUGACCAGCUUCCCUGGUUUUUGAUGCUGAAGCAGGAUUGUUUUAACUAAAGAUGGAAACACUGGAGUCGGAAUUGACCUGUCCAAUCUGCUUGGAGUUAUUCGAAGACCCUCUGUUGCUGCCGUGUGCUCACAGCCUGUGCUUCAGUUGUGCCCAUCGCAUCCUGGUGUCCAGCUGCUCCUCCAGUGAGUCAAUAGAGCCCAUCACAGCAUUCCAGUGCCCUACCUGCAGGUAUGUCAUCUCCCUUAACCACCGCGGCCUAGAGGGCCUCAAGCGGAAUGUGACCCUGCAGAACAUUAUAGAUCGCUUCCAAAAGGCUUCUCUGAGUGGCCCCAACUCCCCUAGCGAGAGCCGCCGAGAGAGAACGUACCGCAAGAGCCCUGCCAUGUCCAGUGAAAGGAUAGCGUGUCAGUUCUGUGAGCAGGACCCACCGCGGGAUGCGGUGAAGACCUGCAUAACUUGCGAGGUGUCCUACUGUGACCGCUGUCUCCGGGCCACGCACCCCAACAAGAAGCCGUUCACCAGCCACCGCCUGGUGGAGCCCGUGCCGGACACACACUUCCGAGGACUCACUUGUUUGGAGCACGAGAACGAGAAAGUGAACAUGUACUGUGUUGCGGACGACCAGUUGAUCUGUGCCUUAUGCAAACUGGUGGGACGCCACCGGGACCACCAGGUGGCGUCGCUGAGUGAUCGAUUUGAGAAGCUCAAGCAAACCCUGGAGACGAACCUCACCAACCUGGUUAAACGCAAUAGUGAACUAGAAAACCAGAUGGCCAAGCUGAUACAGAUCUGCCAGCAGGUGGAGGUGAACACAGCCAUGCAUGAGGCCAAGCUGAUGGAGGAGUGUGAUGAGCUCAUGGAGAUCAUCCGGCAGCGCAAGCAAGUGAUCGCUGUCAAGAUCAAGGAGACGAAGGUUAUGAAGCUGAGGAAGCUGGCCCAGCAGGUAGCUAACUGUCGGCAGUGCCUAGAGCGCUCCACAGUCCUCAUCAAUCAAGCGGAACAUAUCCUGAAAGAGAACGACCAUGCACGGUUCCUGCAGACUGCCAGGAACGUGGCCGAGAGGGUCGCCAUGGCAACUGCAUCCUCUCAAGUGCUGAUACCAGAUAUCAAUUUUAACGAUGCCUUUGAAAACUUUGCUUUAGAUUUUUCCAGAGAAAAGAAACUGCUGGAGGGUCUGGAUUAUCUAACAGCACCCAAUCCACCAUCUGUCCGAGAGGAGCUUUGUACAGCUUCCCAUGACACCAUUACAGUCCAUUGGAUCUCGGAGGAUGAGUUCAGUGUCAGCUCCUAUGAGCUCCAGUACACCAUCUUCACCGGCCAGGCCAACUUCAUCAGUGCAUCCCCAAAUCUGUGCCUCUGACCAGGCCAACGCAGCCCUGAUAAUCAGCCUGCUGACAGGAGAUGCAUUAGACUGGGCCUCCCCUUUGCUGGAAGACCAUAGCCCGGUGCUGUUGGACUGGGAUGCUUUUCUCCAGUUGAUGUCAACCAUCUUCGAUGACCUGCACUGAGCACAAGCAGCCGAGGCAGCCCUGAGAGGGCUGCGGCAGGGGCCAGGCAUGAGGGCCUCCUAUGCAGCACUCUUCCGCCACCCUACAGCACAUACGGAGUGGAAUGAAGCAGCGCAGCCAUACCAGCUCUGAUGGAGCUUUCAGGAAGAAAUCAAAAAUGAACUGGUCCAUGUAGAGAUGACAGCAGGCCUAGAUGCCUUUGUGGACCUUACCAUACGCAUGGAUAAUCAGCUGUGAGAACAAAGGGAGGAGAAAGCGGUUGCCUGCAACCUCCCUUACUAUGGACCAUGACCCCAGCUUCUGUAUCACCUGCCGAACCCAUGCAAGCCAAUCUGCCUGACCAGCGACUCACACCUGAAGAAAAGGAACGACGCCGUCAGCACCACUUGGGCUUCUACUGUGGUGAAACUGGCCAUGCCAUCUCAGCCUGCCCAGUACGAAUGCCAAAGAGCCUGGGGACCAAGCCGACCCAGGACCGGUGUGGGGAGCCAGCAUGGACUUUGAAAGAAGAGAACUUCCCCAUACCCUAGUCCUCACUGAGCUGCACGCUGAGCCCCAUACACAGGCUUCCCCUUUGCAGGUGCCUAUCAAGCUGUGCAUACCGGGGGACCCUGACAGAUUCCCCCUCCACCAGGCCCUCAUCAAUUUGGGAGCAGUGGACAAUUUCAUGGAUGCAGCUACAGCUCAGACUCUAAAGCUCCUCCUGCUACACAAGGCCAUGCCCUUGAUCCAGUUGAGGAGGAGACUGUCCUCCUGGAGGCUGUUAUUCAGGAACACAGAGAAAUGAUGCAAUUCAGUGAGAUCCAUGUCCCACAUUUUCCCCUGAUCCUGGGCAUCUAUUGACUGACCCUUCAUGACACCCUCAUUCACUGGUCUGUACAACUCUAUGGAUAGCUGGAUGAUUGUCCCCAACAUCAAACAGAACCACUACACCGUGCACGGGCUCCAGAGUGGCAC